GACGUAGGAUGCAAGCGUUGUCCGGAUUUAUUGGGCGUAAAGAGUUCGUAGGUGGUUUGCUAAGUCUGAUGUUAAAUACUGGAGCUCAACUUCGGGACUGCAUUGGAUACUGGCAGACUUGAGUGUGGUAGAGGCAAUCGGAAUUCCAGGUGUAGCGGUGAAAUGCGUAGAUAUCUGGAAGAACACCGGUGGCGCAAGCGGAUUGCUGGGCCAUAACUGACACUGAGGAACGAAAGCUAGGGGAGCAAACGGG
rnacentral:rRNA from 1 species